rnacentral:sRNA from 1 species
AACCUUAAGCUCUCAGUGUCGGCAGUAUGAACACAAACCAGAACACACUAAACUUUUCCCGAGGCAGAGUCCAGUCGACGACUUUAUGACAAUCUUCCUGGAUGGAGUUUGCCUAAUACCUUCCAGUUGGUCAUGAGACAGUCAGGGGACUGAAAAUGUGUCACUUGAUUAAGUUUUUCAGGCUGAUAACAAGAAGGCUACUGUGUUAUGACAAAUUUGCUACCUUCUAUAACCGAGCAACGUGUUGAAUCUUGGGGAAUACUACAAAAUAUGGAUCAACAUGGGCCCUUCUCCACUUGACGCACACUAAGCCACUGCUGUGAACUUUGAGUUUGAUCUCAGCUCUCUCAAAAGUCACUAAUCAUUCCUUCAACAAAAAACACAACAAGCACUCGGACAUCACACUGCACAGAUGUAAUUUGGAAUAGGAGGAGGUCAUACUGGAGGAGGUUGACCCUUCAGCCAAUAUUUCUGGUAUUCUUAUAAGGAAAUGUGUAUCUAAAGACACGAGUGCUAAAACCACAGUGUGACAGCACAGGCAAGGACUGUUAUGCACUCCCAAACCAAAGCACACCAAAAAUUACUGGUGAACCACAAGAGGAUAAAGAAGAGUUUCCCUCCAGAUUGCAGAAGUGGCCUGGAGCUUCCAACAACUCUACACAGCCUCAAGAAUUAUAGAGCGCUAUAGUUUUCAGUUCGCUAUAGAAGUACUACUGCUUACUAUAUGUCCUUAAAAUCCUCCGGUCCACUGAGCCCUGCACUGUAUUUUUUCUAACAACCAUACUACAGUCUCAACAAAAUACUUUCCAGUUCUUAAUAUGCUGAGGUUCCUUGAGAUACCUGAAAAAUCUCAUAGUCUUAUAACCACGUAUAUGUUAGCGCUUCUCAAAUUCAUAACCAUAGUUUGAACCUUUCUACGGUUCCCGACAUCAACCAAUGAACUAUAUGUCUAUAUAGCAGAGCAAAGCUCAAUCAUCCUCAGAGGGCUUAUCCAAUCUGAGUAAUGGCCUUCCUUCCAUUUAUUUCUCUAAAGGUAAUGCAAAGAGUUCUACAGUAAGAGUUCCUCCAAUUUUACAGUAUUUCUUAAAGAAGAAAUAUAUGUGUGGAUCCUUGUCAUAAACACAGGUUAGAGAUCUUGAAAAUGCUGGUGUAGUAAUCAUGCUUUCUCCUUUCUCUUCCUCUAUUCUUCAGGUGUGGUGAUGUAUCUGAUGGUUUCUGCAAGUCAGAGUUGCUUUUGAAUGAGCCCUAGUAUAGGAUCCAUUUCACUUUGGCUCUAGGACACACACAGCAGACCCCCCUUGUCCGCUGGCUCUUACAAUCUCUACGACUCUCUUUCAAGAUUAUCCCUGAGCCCUGGGUACAUGGAGUGUGUUGCAGGUGUAUUCACACCACCACAAAAUAGACACUCUACUUGGUGAGGGCUGAGAGCUUCAUUAUCUGUGGGUAUAAGGUGAGUAUGUCGAAUGUAGUUAGGAAUAAUGCUGGCAAACUAAAUUACUAGUAGUUGGGUCUUUCCUAAGAUGCACGAUCUAACUCACUCUGGUAUUUGCCUAGGUUUUCAGUAUCAGGCAUGCUCCCCGUCCCCAAUUAGUGGGCCUUAGCCCAGUUAGAGAGUGGUUGGUUACACCAAAAUAUGAGUGCCACUCAUAUUUAUGAAUAUUUUACCAUGAUGUUCAUCAUUGUGUUUCAUAGGUGUCGUACCUGUGUACAUCUAUUGACUGCUUUUCUCCUUUAGCAGUUUUUAUAGCAUCUUUCUGGAACCAUACAAAGUAGUCCUCAGGGAAGAGGUUUUCAAAUUAGAUGCAAUUUAGAUCGUUUGAGUCCUGUCUGAGUACACGGUGUCUCCAAUAACAGAGAUGUAUCUUCAGCUUCUGGUAGGGAACAGCCACAGCACUUACUAUUUUGGUAAUCUCUUGAACUCUCCUGACAACUCAAAGGGGAGAAUCUUAUCCUUGGUAAAGGGGGUUUGGUCAGAUGGUCAAUGGGUCUUGAGGGAAGUACUGGCAGCCCAAGUUAACAUUGAUAAAUGAGAAAUAGAUAAUUAGAUGAUUAGAUAGAUGAUAGAUACAUGAUAGAGUAUGUGCAUGAUAUAUAGAUGCUUACAUGUAUUAUAUGUAAUUUUAGGUAUAUAUAAUAUGAUUCAUUAUGUGUUUGAAACAUCUGCAUUUUUAUUUUUCCCUUCUCCUUUCUUCUCUGCCUGACCAUCCAUGUCUCUUCCAUUAAAGACCCCUUCUUCUUAUUUUCCCAUUUCCUCUUUCUAUCACUUUUAUCCUGCUAUUUCCCUUCUCUAAAGAUCCCCCACCAAAUGCGCUAUGCAGCCCCAUGUGGGGCUAGGACCCACAGUGUAGGAAGUGUGGCUACAGAUGAUUUGAAGGAUGUGGGAGGAUGUGAAUUGGCUAUAUCCAAGUAGCAUGCCUUCUAAAAAGUCCCUGGAGCACCUGAGGACUCCGAUUUCCAUGGGAAAGAAUAUGUGGCUUUUUCUGAAGCCCUGCCAGGCCUGGAUCAGCCUAGGGACAAGGGGGCCUGUGGGUUACUGCACACACUAUCGUGCGCGAUCCUCAUCACAGAGUCUAGUCUGCGUUUGUGAGAGUGCACGUGUGCUGUGGACAAGGACAUGAAGUACCUGUUUCAUCGUUAGAUGUUGAUGCUUAUCGUCCUAUUUCUCUGGAAUCUGGCAUGCGAGACUUUUAAGAUGACCUACUAAGAUAAGUGUCCAAGUGACACGUAUUAAAGACAAAACAUGCAGUCUGACGAAAAGGGCUGAAGAUGAAAAAUGGGGAGUCGCUUUCUUCUCUAUGGUCUCUUGUUUCCCACUUUGAACCCAUAGACUUGAUUUAUCCUUAGGUCAGUUCUCGUUUAUUGUAAUAAACAGUUCUGUGCAUUGCAGUGAGUGAAAGAAGAUAUAAUUUAAAAUUCUUUGCUGGGAAUACCCAGUAAGUGUAUCAGAACACACAAUAAA